GCUGGCAGCUAGCUCUCUGCAACUCUCACAUGGUCGCCCACUGAAGCUAAGCAGGGCUGCGCCCGGUCCGUACCUGGAUGGGAGACCACAUGGGAAAGCUUCGUUGCUGCCAUAA
rnacentral:rRNA from 1 species